rnacentral:rRNA from 1 species
CCUACGGGAGGCAGCAGUGGGGAAUAUUGGACAAUGGGCGAAAGCCUGAUCCAGCCAUGCCGCGUGUGUGAAGAAGGCCUUCGGGUUGUAAAGCACUUUCAGUGGGGAAGAAAGCCUUGGGGCUAAUACCCUCGAGGAAGGACAUCACCCACAGAAGAAGCACCGGCUAACUCCGUGCCAGCAGCCGCGGUAAUACGGAGGGUGCGAGCGUUAAUCGGAAUUACUGGGCGUAAAGGCGCGCGUAGGCGGUCUGAUAAGCCGGUUGUGAAAGCCCCGGGCUCAACCUGGGAACGGCAUCCGGAACUGUCAGGCUAGAGUGCAGGAGAGGAAGGUAGAAUUCCCGGUGUAGCGGUGAAAUGCGUAGAGAUCGGGAGGAAUACCAGUGGCGAAGGCGGCCUUCUGGACUGACACUGACGCUGAGGUGCGAAAGCGUGGGUAGCAAACAGGAUUAGAUACCCCAGUAGUC